GGUGUUCUACCCAGACUGGUUAUGACCAGAGCCUCCUUGCAACCCACUACUAUCUCAUUGCUCCUAACGUCCACAACCAGACUGCUGUCAGCCAGACGGUGACCAUCAGCUCGGUGUGGACAUCAUUGGCUGCAGGGCUGCUGCAGAGUGUUGACCACCAGAGCAUCCCCAGCCUCCCUGCCUCAGAGGUGCUCCAGAAACUGCUUUGGCCCCCGCAGCGCGACUGGAAGCAUCAUCUCCAGGCUGAAUCUCGCCCGGUUUUUAAACAGAAACAACCUUCACUCAUGCAGGCGAGCAUCAUUUGCAAAAUGAUAUCCGUUCAUAGUUGCAAGCCUGAAAAUGAAUAUCACAUGACUAUUCAUGCACGCUGGGGAUGUGGGUUCCGGUGUUGUUGUUGGUUGCAUGUUGGUUCCUUAGUUACAGAAACUACAACAGAGUACUACAGUAAGCUUUGAUCAUUAAAGGUGAUUGACCCUUAAAAUUUUCCUCUUUAAACUCAAACAGACAUAUUUGGAAAGUUUAUGUGGCGAUAUGUAGAGAAGUUUAAGAAUUUUGAUUUUUUUAAAUGGGCA
ensembl:lncRNA